GCAAGAUCAGGUAUCGAAGCAAACAAUCGAGUUGGGAGUGCCGUGGUGCGGAUAUUCGACGGUCGUCGUGAAGCACUCGGUAUUUCCCGAUCGCUGGUCUCUUCAAUGAGAUUUCAGUUUUCACAAACGGCUUCUCUGGGCCUCUAUGUUGGAUUGAGCAGUUGUGUUCCACGUCCGUGGCUGCGACGAUGUCCAAUAGUAGACACCGCUUCGGCGGUGUUAGAGUUGAUGACCCGGUCGGGCACCCAGAACCAACAACCCAUUUUCAAUUCAUUCAAUGCCAACUAAUCGAGCAAGUUAUGUCGGUGAAUCACUUGGCUCGUGGGUCGAUGAAGAACGCAGUGAAUUGCGUUAAUAAGCACGAAUUACAGAUAUUACGAGUGCCUUGUUUUCGAUUGCAUAUUGCGUCGUCGGGUUCUGCCCUUCGACAUACGCAGCUCAGGGUGUUUUCAUGGAAAGGGAAGCCAAAUGCAUUGUGUAAUGGUUUUCGCUAUCGAAUCGUCGACUCUUCCCCACGGAAUGCAGUUGACGUGUUCGCUUUGGUGGCGUAUUCUUCGGAGUAUGCCUGUGAUUACGUUGUUAGUACUGUUCGAACGAUGUCCAUGUGCAAGGAACAUGAUUCGAUUGGCUUUUGAUCUGUACGGCUUUGAGUGACUUGAUUCCACAAUUGAGAUGCUUGGCUGUUAUUGAGAAGGUCUUUGCGAGUUGUUGUUCGGAUGUCGGCAGUGCGAUUGAUGACACUGACCAUUUGAUUGGUUGAAAUCCACCUGAGUUGCGUAUGACCA
rnacentral:rRNA from 1 species